UCGUUUAUAUUUAUUUUUUCAGAUUGGUGUUGUUAUGCAUUGAUAUUAAAGAUAAAUUGAAUCAUCCGUAAUAUGAAAUGAUGACACAUAUGGUAAUUAUUUCCGGGUCCAGUUUACAGCUCAGGUUUCGUCCUUGACGGCGUCAUAGUGUCCUGAGUUAUGCGGAAGCUAAUUAAGGCACCUUCAGGGAUUAUAAUACAUUCUAAAAAUAAAUGAAAAUUAAUAAUCA
rnacentral:misc_RNA from 1 species